rnacentral:rRNA from 1 species
CCUACGGGCGGCAGCAGUGGGGGAUAUUGCACAAUGGGGGAAACCCUGAUGCAGCGACGCCGCGUGGGUGAAGAAGCGCCUCGGCGCGUAAAGCCCUGGCAGCAGGGAAGAAAAUGACGGUACCUGAAGAAGAAGCCCCGGCUAACGACGUGCCAGCAGCCGCGGUAAUACGUAGGGGGCAAGCGUUAUCCGGAUUUGCGGGGUGGAGAGGGGGCGCAGGCGGCGAUGCAAGCCAGGAGUGAAGGGCCGGGGCCCAACCCCGGGACUGCUCUUGGAACUGCGUGGCUAGAGUGCAGGAGGGGCAGGCGGAAUUCCUGGGGUAGCGGUGAAAUGCGUAGAUAUCAGGAGGAACACCGGUGGCGAAGGCGGCCUGCUGGACUGCAACUGACGUUGAGGCCCGAAAGCGUGGGUAGCAAACAGGAUUAGAUACCCCUAGUAGUC